UCUCUCUUUUACCUUGUCCAGACUAGUUUCAAGGAAUUUGGGGAGGUGGGUUUGAGCACGUACACUUAAGGUAUGUAAGAUUUUCACAAAAACUGGUUGGGGUCCUUGGCUAAGAGGAGAUUCUGCCUUGGGCCCGCUGGUGUAAUAAACUGCACUCCACCAUUUGCAUUGUCCUUCUGAGUUAGUUUGUUUCCCGGAACGCGUGGCUACAACAUUUGGUGCAUUGGCCGGGAAACUCCUCACUUUGAGGAGACAAGUCCCAUUUGGGACUACUCUGAGGCCUUGCAGCUUGAAUCUUCUAGAGGGGGGAAGACGCCUCACCCUUCUGGAAGGAUUCUGGGUCUCAACGCCUGGACCUUUCACGUUAGCAGGUAGUGGACGGCAGCAGGGAAACUGAGCACUCAGGUGAGGGGGAACCCACCCAGCAGGGUGGAAGAGGGGGCCUGAUCACCCCCCUGGGAGGGACUAGAUGGAGCACGGACCCACAGGGGCCUGGAAUAGGCAGAGGGCAAUUGCUUGGUACACAGGUCCACGAGUGUUGCUAGGGCUUAGGAAGGGAAUUUGCAAAGGUAAUUUAGGAGGUGUGUCCACGCCAUCUCAGGGAAAAUUAUUACCAGCAAUAGCCAGGGGAUUUUUAGAAUAGGAAACUUUUCCUUGUAUGCUCAUUUUCUGCCCUCCCGCAGGAGAUGUCCCAUCUGCUGUGAAAUUCUUGACCCCCUCGGAAUUGUCAGGCUAGAAGGAGGGGGAUACAUAAGUGAGCAUGAAUUGGCUUUUCCGGAGACAGCCUGGGACAUGGGAUAUUUAACCCAUCUAUGUUUUCAUCCGCACCUGAUCAAGCCCACAAAGGCAGAACAGACUUUAAGGGAGAAAUAGUCUUGGACCACGUGGUGUUCUGGUUCGGCCUUGCUGACUGGCAGGUGAAGACACACUGAUCCCCCUACCCACUCUGGGAUCUGGCAGGAUUUGGACAAGGAUGACCUACCCCUCCCCCAUACUGGACGCACCCACCGGCCCUGUGCUCCACCAGGACCGGAGGCCACCUUAAUGCCCAAUCCAGGGCCAGGUGAAGUUCCUGCAGCAGCCACGGCUCCUCCACCAGCUCUCCUGGAGGUCGUAGAGCCUCCACCUCAGUGGGCUCCGAUCCUGGUGGCAGAAGCCUCUGGCCAACACUUCCAGGAUCCGGCUCCAGCCGAGCCGCCCAAGUUAUACCCUCCUCUCCCGUUAAAGUUGCGGGUAUUGCCCCGUGGAUCCAUCACACGAGGCUGAAGAGAACACACCACGCAGACCCAAAAACGCUGAGUGGACUGCACAGAGGGACCCCGCUGACCCUCGAAAGACUAAGACCAUCCUUAAUAAGAAGGAAAAAAAAGAUCCUGGACGAGCCCCUUCAGGAUGAAGCCACACAAUCAACUCCUGCUGCUUGGCCUCAUCAACGAGCACAUUCCUACACCAACUUCCACAAUACCUCCACUGUUGAGUGGGGUUAUGCCUCUGUCUGUGAUGGAUGGACUUCCCUGGUGGCUGUCACCGCUCCGCCAAGGAGAUUUUAAACCACUCUGCUCUUCUCUGGGACCCAAUCAUAACCUCUCCUUGCUCUCUGGGUGUAAGCCAGACCUACAGUCAAUAGACUCGGGUCAUAGGGUUACAUUUGAUAUAAAUGCCAGUGUAACGAAAGCCUAACCUACAACAACCCCUGGUAAAUCUACCAUAUUUACA